CAGACGAACGGAUGGAUGCGUGGAUGAAUGAAACACCGGUUCCAAUCAACUCGUGAUUUUUCUCCCAAAUAUUGUCGUAUCUCACUGGAUCCGCUCUGCGUUCACGGGAACGGGCCUCAUGGCCAACCCUCUGAUGUUGUGAGCUCUGAGAUAGAAGCACUUCAUGGGUUAGGGUUUGUUGCUUUGCAUGAAUCUGUAGUUUCAGGGUUUGUUUUGAGAGCUGUAGAGAUGGAGAUGGCGUUGAGGCUGCGAUCUGGAUUUCCCUCCUGUAGCUCCUCCAAAUGUGUACCUUCGAAUCGCCGGCGUUUGGAGGUUUCCGGAGAUCAGGGUUUACGGGAGUGGAGCUUUCAGGAUGCAGGUGGGUUUGUGGUUUUAGGGAAUGGGGGAUUGAAAGCAUCGGUGAUGCAGAAUGGGGAUUUGCGGAGGACGUUGAAACAUGUCCGGAGAGAAGUGGUGCGCUGUGCGAUGCAAGGAGGCAUUGAGAGUGAAGGUGGGGAAGGAGAAGGAGAAGGAGAUGGCAAACCGAGUGAAUUGCUAGCGACAAGCAUCGAAGCUUUCGGGGAGGCGCUCUCGUCGGGGUUCCCGAUAUGGGUAGCAGCAGCCUGCGUUGCGGGGUUGGUGAAGCCCGCUGCGUUUACUUGGAUCCAGGGGCAGGUACAAAUCAUAGGGCUCAGCAUCACCAUGCUAGGAAUGGGCAUGACCAUGUCGCUGGAUGAUCUCAAGGGCGCCCUCGCAAUGCCCAAGGAGCUUGUCGCGGGUGUGCUCCUCCAGUACACCGUGAUGCCAACCGCAGGAGCGUUAGUAAGCAGGCUGCUCAAUUUGCCAGCAAAUUAUGCCGCAGGCCUCAUCUUGGUGUCAUGCUGUCCUGGUGGCACCGCGAGCAAUGUGGUCACGUACCUCGCGCGGGGCAAUGUAGCUCUGUCUGUGCUCAUGACGGCGGCCAGUACCUUUUUGGCGGUCAUACUGACGCCCAUGCUCACGUCGAAAUUGGUUGGGCAGUAUGUUUCCGUGGAUGCGGCGUCCCUUUUCUCCUCAACGUUGCAAGUAGUCCUGUUGCCCGUGACAGUGGGUGUUUUAUUAGCGCAUUUCUUGCCAGGCCUGGUCCGUAGAGUUAGCCCCUUGGCUCCCUCUGUGGCUGUGGUGACCGUAGCUGCAAUCUGCGCGGGAGCCAUCUCCCACAGCGCAUCUACUAUUCGGCAGUCAGGUGGCCAGGUCCUUAUUGCGGUGUUAGCUCUACAUGUGGCUGGCUUCUUCUUCGGUUAUGUCCUAUCACGUGUUCUAGGAUUUGAAGAAUCUACAUCCCGUACAGUGUCCAUCGAAGUGGGCAUGCAGAAUUCUGUCCUCGGUGUCGUCCUUGCGAGUAAACACUUUGCGAGUCCGCUAACGGCAGUCCCGUGCGCUGUCUCGAGCGUAUGUCAUUCAAUCUUGGGCAGUGCUCUUGCUAGGUUCUGGCGAUCUCGUCGUGCGAACCACCAAACCACUGGCAACGCCACUUUAUCCUAGAAUACUGGUUUUCGAAUUAUUUCCAUGUCGUAACUUCAGGAUGCUUUACAACCUUUGCUGUUCACUCAAUGUGAAUGAUCAGCCGGCGAGAUUUCUUCAAUAUACUAUAAAGCCCACGCAGUGUGCUCAAAAACGAAGGACAGCAAUGUUCUGCGAUAUCUGGCAAUUUUGAAACGCAGAGCGUUACGAAGGAAACUUGUAGCGCAUCUUGAUCGAAAGUCCCUUAAUAAGCAUCACUGAGGAUUGAGUAUAUGAAGAUAGUCAUAAUCAUGGAGACAUGAAUAGCGUACACUGGAAUGAAACCUCAAAUGCGAUGUUUCAUACACUUGAGACAGAAAAAUGUAUGGAGACGCUCAACUGGAGAAGUGCAACCACCAAUCUCUAUUCAACACAGGUGCAUAACCACUGACCGAUACUUGUCUCCAUUGCGUGGAGUUUGUACCCAGUGCAACUUGGAAAAGGGUUAUCAGUGACAAAGAUUGUAAAAGAUUGUAAACCCUAUUGCGAAAGAUUGUAAAUUCAAUGCUCCUCAAAUAGUUUCAAUAACA